rnacentral:rRNA from 2 species
GAAGUAAAAAUCGUAACAAGGUCUCCGUUGGUGAACCAGCG